GUGUCAGCAGCCGCGGUAAUACGUAGGGUGCGAGCGUUAAUCGGAUUUACUGGGCGUAAAGCGUGCGCAGGCGGCCCGUUAAGACAGGUGUGAAAUCCCUGGGCUCAACCUAGGAAUUGCGCUUGUGACUGGCGGGCUCGAGUACGGUAGAGGGGGGUGGAAUUCCUGGUGUAGCAGUGAAAUGCGUAGAGAUCAGGAGGAACACCGAUGGCGAAGGCAGCCCCCUGGGCCUGUACUGACGCUCAUGGACGAAAGCGUGGGGAGCAAACAGGAUUAGAUACCCUGGUAGUCCACGCCCUAAACGAUGGGUACUAGCCGUUUGGUGCGCGAUAGCGCUGAGUGGCGAGGCUAACGCGUGAAGUACCCCGCCUGGGGAGUACGGCCGCAAGGUUGAAACUUAAAGGAAUUGACGGGG
rnacentral:rRNA from 1 species